UCGUGCUAGACGGGGAGCUAGCGGUGCCCUGUACCCGCAAUCCGCUACAGCGGGGUCGAACUCCCCCUCGAGGUGGCGAGCUUUCGGGGACUGGAGGCGCUAAGUGGCGUCGAAGGUUGGGUCCUGCGCGG
rnacentral:SRP_RNA from 1 species